rnacentral:rRNA from 1 species
CCUACGGGGUGCAGCAGUAGGGAAUAUUGCUCAAUGGGGGAAACCCUGAAGCAGCAACGCCGCGUGGAGGAUGAAGGUUUUCGGAUUUUUAACUCCUUUUGUUAGAGAAGAUAAUGGCGGUAUCUAACGCAUAAUCACCGGCUAACGCCGUGCCAGCAGCCGCGGUAAUGCGGAGGGUGCAAGCGUUACUCGGAAUCACUGGGCGUAAAGAGCGCGUAGGCGGGAUAGCAAGUCAGAUGUGAAAUCCUAUGGCUUAACCAUAGAACUGCAGUUGAAACUGUUAUUCUAGAGUAUGGGAGAGGUAGGUGGAAUGCUUGGUGUAGGGGUAAAAUCCGUAGAGAUCAAGAGGAAUACUGAUUGCGAAGGCGACCUGCUAGAACAUAACUGACGCUGAUGCGCGAAAGCGUGGGGAGCAAACAGGAUUAGAUACCCGAGUAGUC